GUACUACCAGAGCUAUAGAGAGAGAGAGUUGCGACACUUCCAUUGGACUCCGUUGUAGCGCCUACUUCCGGGGUAUGGAGCCUCGAAUAGUUCCAAACAACCAUUUUACGGCGUAGGAGACCGUUCAUUUCCAUUGCUGGCCGCCGAGUAACUUCUGAGGGUGAUGUUCAGCACAUGAAGCCCUACAGAUGCCGCCGAUUCAACAAUGCUGAUUAUGAUGGGCGGUCAAUUUAACCUUUGCCUUAUUAGGUCCUCCACAGUCACCCCAUCAGUCCCUGGCAGUCUGGUCCCUGGAGCAGCUGGCCCUGGCAAAAGUUAUUCCUUCACUGUUGACCCCUGACUGACUGGCCCUCGGCACACAAAUCCCUGGAUCACCCGCCACUGGAUCACCUGCCCCUGGAUCACCUGCCCCUGAAUCACCUGCCCCUGGCAAUGUGGCCUCUUGAUUGCUCUCUCUGUCUCCUGUGAUGUCCUUUUCAACGCUCUUGAAAUCCACCUAAAUUUCUCCCUCAAUCUCUGUAACAAUUACAAGGUAAUGUUGCUGUUAUAUGUAUUUUGCCUUUGCAUUUGCAACUACUGUCAUCUCCAAUGUAAGAAAAUGAAUUAAAGCAAAACAUUUCUGUAAUGUGAAUUAAAUCAUCUGCCACAAUCAGAAACCAAUACAAUUUAUAAAUGGA